CAGCAGCCACGGGAAUACGUAGGGUGCAAGCGUUAAUCGGAAUCACUGGGCGUAAAGCGUGCGCAGGCGGUGUUGUAAGACUGAUGUGAAAUCCCCGGGCUCAACCUGGGAACUGCAUUGGUGACUGCAACGCUGGAGUGCGGCAGAGGGGGAUGGAAUUCCGCGUGUAGCAGUGAAAUGCGUAGAUAUGCGGAGGAACACCGAUGGCGAAGGCAAUCCCCUGGGCCUGCACUGACGCUCAUGCACGAAAGCGUGGGGAGCAAACAGGAUUAGAUACCCGAGUAGUCCCUGUCUCUUAUAC
rnacentral:rRNA from 1 species